GACGAACGCUGGCGGCGUGCUUAACACAUGCAAGUCGAGCGGUAAGGCCCUUUCGGGGGUACACGAGCGGCGAACGGGUGAGUAACACGUGGGUGACCUGCCCUCAGCUCUGGGAUAAGCCUGGGAAACCGGGUCUAAUACUGGAUAUGACUCCAUGACGCAUGUUGUGGGGUGGAAAGCCUUGUGCGGCUGAGGAUGGGCCCGCGGCCUAUCAGCUUGUUGGUGGGGUGAGGCCUACCAAGGCGACGACGGGUAGCCGGCCUGAGAGGGCGACCGGCCACACUGGGACUGAGACACGGCCCAGACUCCUACGGGAGGCAGCAGUGGGGAAUUGUUCGCAAUGGGCGCAAGCCUGACGACGCAACGCCGCGUGGAGGAUGAAGACC
rnacentral:rRNA from 1 species